UGGGUGUUGGGGGUGGGGGAGGGAGGGUAGGGGGCAGGAAAUGAAGGGAGAGGGCAUCCAGGCAGAAGGUGACAGAGAGAAAGAGAGAGGGGAAAUGUGAAGGAGUAGGACUCCUAAUUUCCCAGAGGUGAAGUCUUUCUCCUCCUCCAGCUCUGGGGUCUCAGUAACCACCAUGGCUUCCCGUGAAAGAAGGAAGAUUCCAUUUUUUUUUAUAUGUCUGCCCUACCUGAGGUCCUAGGAAGACCAACACCCGAUGGGUACUCAGUGAACAGAGAGGAAAGAGGCAAGCAGACAAAGAGGACAUUAGGGUGAGGUCAAGCCAGCUGGGCAAGGGGGACACGGGGACCAGGAGAGGGGCAGGAAGGUGAGCGUGCAACUUGUCCGCUCAUCUUCAGAAUCUCAGUCACUACCCCAGUAGUUGGAGGUGGUAUUGCCCCCAUUCGACAGGUAAGGAAAACGAGGCUCAGAGAAGUCCCAUAAGGGGUUAAGGCUGACUUCAAAGGCCAAUCUUUCUAGGUUCUUCCUGGCAUGUCCUCACCUGGCUACUGCCAAGAACCCAGCAGUGACCAGGUUCUUGGCAGGCACCCCUGCCUUUGGAGAGGACUGCUUCACUGGGAGUUCCUGGUCAAAUGGAAGGUUCCUGGAAAGGCCUCCUGUAACAGGCACUCACUACCCUACUGGACUUGGGGAUCACCCAGGCAGCCCCCCUCCACUGCCCCCAGGCACAAACGGCGCUGUCCCUGUGUGGUUGCGCCGCGGGAGCGGCUCUGGAGGACAGAAGUCUGUCUGACACUCCUGUGCCUGCGUGUGUGACCCCCGCAAAUCCCAUCGCCUCUCUGUGCCUCAGUCACCACGUCCGUGAAAUGGGGGUUCACCCGCCUUCAGGGUUGCCGCGGGCACUACGCGAGCGCGUGUGUGUUUGGGAUGGGUCCAGCACAGAGCGGGGACUUGGCGACGAGCCAUGCCUUUCUUCCCCCCCACGGUCCCCGACCUUAACCCUGCGAACGAUCCUGUGGAGCUCAUAUUGUUAUUAUUGUCAUUUUUGUUUAGGGAACAAACGAACGGAGGAGUGGAGGGAGAGGGCGCGCGGAUGAAUGAAUGAAUGGUUGGCGCGUGGGCACCUCCCCGAGCGCUCGGCCCCCUCGGCUUCCUGCAGGGAAGGGGGCUGCGGGCCCUGCGCUCUCACCGCCGGGGGGGGGGGGGGGGCGGUUAAUGGGCGCGGGGCGCUGGCAGGUGGCAGAUGAAAGGGGCCGCGAGCGCCGCCCAGAAAUUAGCCUCGGGGCGAGCGGCGGGGCGGGCUUAU
rnacentral:lncRNA from 1 species